CUCUUCCAGGGGUGGGCGGGGGGCCUGCCCCCGGGGAGACAGCUGGCAAGGUGUGGAGCCGCUCUUCGCUGGCACGGCUUGGGGGCACUGCGGCAGAGCCGGGGAUGCUGCUGGACACCCUGGUGCCCCGAGGGCAGCCCCACGGCAAAGAAUGAUCCGGUCUAAAACGCCAGGAGCUGAGGGUGAGAAGCCCAGUCCCAGAGGAAGAGCGUGGGCCCUCCGGUGCUGGCUCUUGGACGGGCACUGGCUGCCUUCUCGCCUGACACCGAAACGUCAGCGCUGAGAAUCUGGUCUGGGAGCAGCGGAAGGAAUCCCGGACUCGGGCUGAGGCCACAGGAAACUCUUCAGAGCUGAUUAUUUCCUGCUGGUCUUGAGAUGAAAAAUGAUCCCAUUAGCCUUAGAUUCCUUCCUGGUGAAAAGAGAAAAGAGCAGGUUUCCACGCGGAUCCGAAGGAAGACGGCGAGCCUCAAUUCAUUCAACCCAUCAGCAUUCGUCACUUACAGAAAAGGAGAAUCAAGAAAUGUUAAAACAAAAACUAACCAGAAAAGAACAUUUACACGUCACCAAACACACCAUCUCAAACCGAGUACAGACUCUGGAAAUGGAAUACGGGCUUGCAGAAACUAUGACGUGGGGCUUGAUCUGGAAUAAGAAACAGAAGAAGCUGAGUCUCUAACCAUGAAACACAGACCCUAGACGGAGGCUGUAAUCUUGGAGCUAUAUUAAGACCAAGCCCUUAGAAUCAUUGCCCUGGGCCAUCCUUCUGUCUCUAAAGCUGAACCAAGAAGUCGGCAUCCCACAGAGCUGGUGGCCGCUGAUCAGUAGCUGUUCCCUUGCCUACACUGUGGCUUCCCAUCAAAGAACUGAAAGAGAAAGAGCCAAGGCAGCAGAGAAGGAUCUGGGGAUAAAAUACGUCAAGACCUCUUUCUGUAGGAACGGUUUCAAAAGGUCUUUUGAAAGACUAACUAAGAAUAUAAACUACCAUGUAUUGCCGAGACCGUGCAAUAGGGAAGGGCAGUCUUUUCAACAAGCGGUGCCUGGAAAACUGGACAUCCACAUCAAGAGAAUGAAGCUGGACCCUCACCUUACACCACACAAAAGUUAACUCAAACUAGGUCAAAGGCCUAAAUGUCAGACAUCAGUGGGAAGCUGAGGACAGCUCAGAAAGGAACUGCUCACAGGGGUGGGCGGGACCUGGGGGGGGCACCCGGGAAGGUGUGGAGCCUGGGGCUGGGAUCAUUAGCACCCCAGGGCCCACCUGGGGUUGGCGGAGGAAACAGCCGAACCCCGGAGAGAGCUGGACACAGAGCAGCAGCUGAGGCCUCGGGAGAGGAACACAGCCAACCCACGGAGGCCCCGCGGGGAGCUGGGGAGACAAAUGCCUCAGACCUCACUCAGAAGAAACCCAUUCUGCUCCCUGGCCCACCGUCAUCAAGGAGACUCUCAUCACGCUGCCUCCAUGCCAGCCUCGGCCGGCGUCCAGAGUCGCCCUAGGAGGCAGCUGCUGUCCUCCCGAGUCACCAUCAGCCACGACCCAUGCCCAGGGGGUUUGCUCACGUCCCUGACGGGGCCUCUGCGCGACCUUUCUCCAAAUUAAGGGAUGGCCCAGAGAGCUCCACCAGCCGCGUGGUCCUCACCUACGGCGUGGCCAGAGCGGGGCCUCUUACCCCGGCCGGGGCCCUCAUCUUCUCGUCUGGGGUAUCCCCAGUCCCAAGACCCUCCUCUGAGACCCCCCACUGUGAACCAUCCAGCCCCUCCCACGAGGCUCGAGCCAACACCACUUUCUUGCCAGGCCUUGCUGAUACUCACCCCUCCAAGCCUGGCUUCCUGCGCUCCCCUGACCGGUUCCACCUCUCUCCUGACGCCCCAGCAGCCCACCCGCCCCAUUCACGGUCUCUGGCUCUGCUCUCCCCAUCUUGCCCACCACCGUUAAUGCCCACUCAGCAGCCAGAGGGGUCUUUAGGAAACGCAAA